AAACUUUUCUUAUUAUUAAGCUAGGCCCUAGAUCCCCACUCCAAAAAACAUCAGUUCAUGGCGAAGUUUGUACUAUAAAUAAGCCCACAUGUAUCUUUAGAUUAAUUAUUCCAGCUAUGUGUCAUCAUUGAAAACGUGGGGGCCUGCCUCUCUUUCUUCUCCUUCCUCCUUCCUUCCCAUCUGCAGCAAUGACGUAAAAAGGAAAAACAAGAAUACGCAGCAACGACUAGAUCAGAGAUCGGAGAGCCAAAUUGCCCAGUCUGGAUUUUUCGCGGGGGUCAAACUGGUAUUCCACCACCAUAUCCGUGUUGUGUGGUGCCAUGUCGACGGGGGAAUGUCGGAGAAAACCAAAGAGUCCAAGCAUCACAGAUGAAUGCACACACUUAACUCAAGAGCUACAUACAUGUUCAAAAAAGAAAAGAAAUAAAUGCACAUGCAUUCUGCGACCAACGUAGCUCCAAUUACCUGAUGAGAAAUAAGAUAUGCUAAGGUCUCAACUCAACAACUUAAGUCCAGAGAGCUUUUAUAAACCAUAACCAACAGUGUCACACCUCAGUAUCCCUUAAAGAAAACCAUUUAUUCAAGUUCUUAACAGCUACAUAAAUUUCAACCAUGGAAAUAGAAAUUUAAAUGCUGAGCUAUAUAGGCUAUC